GUCCAUGUACAGUUGAUUCAUUGAUUCUUUUCAUGUGAUAUUUUAUAUAGCUCUCAAUAAACUUUUUACACUGAACCACAUCUCUGUCUCAAGUAUAGUGGACCUGGGAUCCUUCUUGAUAAUUAUUAUAGUUUCUAACUAAAUAUUCUCUGGGUGAAAUUUCCAGGAUAGCGCAGUUGGAUUUUCCCUAUGAUUGUAAAAACUUUAGAGCUCCUGCUACACCAUUCUAGUGUGACAUGUGUGACAUCACUGGUUCUUUGCUCUCUUCCUCAUUAUUCUCACCUCCUUGUGCUCUCACAUUGUCUGUAAUGUAAUAAUUAGAUGGCUUGUCCUGUUUAAACAACUGAUUAACAUCUUCACAAGUAAAUGGUCACAACAGUACUGCAGACAGACAAACUCAUAAAUCUCUACUUAGACAACUGGAAGGUUGUCUUCAUGUUUUCCUGUUUGUUCACAAAGCAAACUUCUGUCAUUCCUUUGUUCUUCUUACUGCAGUGGUUGGAGUGGUUUCCAUACCUAAUCGAAUCAGUUUGGAUCACUUUGCUUCACCUGAACACCCUGACAGUAUUUACACACUGCUGUCUGACUGCAUUCAGCUGACACUGAGAUGAAGCAGAAAAGAAGCAGCUGGUGAAGGUAGAAAGUGUGUGUGAGCUGAUGUGGAUGUGAAUUCAGCAGCAUGGAUCAGUGUGAGGACAGAGAGGAGGGAGUCCCUCCCUCUAAAACCACUCUGUGUGGGGAACAUGAGAGCCAGACCAAAGCUCAGAGUUCAGAGCAGCGGUACGCACUGUAUUCUGCCAGACCUGGGCCCAGCUGCAGAUCCCUAACGACUGACUUGUACUUGGAGUUACACGUGUUUUUUACUCGAAAGCGUCUCCCUUCCAGUUUGUCCUCCUCACUGUUUUGUGGAGUGAAUCAAACACAAGACUGUACUAAACUUGAACCUGAAUCUAAACAUGAACUGAUGCCUGAAACAACAAGCAUACCUGAACAAGAAGCCUCUGCGACUUUAAAUCUUCAGAUCCUCGGUUGUAAACAUGUCAUGGAUCAGGAUCAGGCUGGGCCCCGGCAGAUGAUCUGUCCAGUGUUGAACAGCAGUGCUAUAAAAAAGACAGACGGGCUUUUAAAGGAAUGGUUGUGGGAAACUCUGGAGACUUUGGGAACUGAGGAGC
ensembl:lncRNA